AAAAAAGCAGGGACUCAUUGCCUUUUGUGAGUGAGUCUCUCGUAAACUUCAGGGAAAGUACCUGUCAUUGUUAUUGGGUGAACCUCUGACCUGUUGUAACAGUAAGGUUCAGUAAAUAAUGAAACAUUU